GAUACUAUUUUUUUAGUAUUACGGUACUCCUAUUUUUAUUGUAUUGAUGGCGAGUUGUUUUCAUGUCCUACUCAUCUAUAUCGCAACCUACUUUUAUAUAUAUUUUUUUUUAGGAGAAAAUGUAUGUAAAAGAAAAAGCAAUUUAAUACAAUCUGUCUCAGGCGUUGUAAUUUUUUUUAUGACGUUAAAAUAGUAUUGACACUAAUGUCGCGAAGGAAAGACAUAAAAUUUUAUAAGUUUUAUAUUUUUUAAAUAGGCUUUUCUUAUUAUGAGAAAGGCCUAUUUAUACAUAUAGGUGUUUAUAUACUUUUUCAAUGAAGAAGUAUAUAUAAUAUCUAUAUGUCCUGUACUAUGUAUUACUGAGGAUAUAGCAGUUGUAUAAUAAAUAAUUGGGUUAUGUGUGUAAAAAGCAUAUAAUUAAAAUAUUAAGAGUUAUGAAGAAUGCAUACAAUAAUAUAUAUAUAUAUAUAUAUGUAUAUAUUAUUGUUUCAUAAUAUCUGAACAACUUUUGUUAGGAAGUGUACAUAUAGAUCUAGCUAGUUGUACCUCACGUCCUUGCUUUUAGAGGAUUAUUUGAAAGACAGAUAGGCCUUAUACAAUAAUGUUCAUUUUAUUAUGGCAUUAGCUAUUUAGCACGUAUAAGCUCUUACAUAGGAUAUUUCGAUAUGGACAAUCCAGAAGAACUGGACGUAUUUAUUUGGUUUACCACAUACUUACGUCAGUUCCUGUGUGACCCUGUAUCGAUCUUGUCACUAUGAAUAGAUACAUCGCUUUUUUGUGGCUAUAUAUAUAUAUAUUAUAUAUAUAUGUAUGUAUGUCAACAUAAGGUGUAUCUAUUGAGAGGGACUUUAAGAAAAUAUACAGUCUGAGGAUAGAAA